rnacentral:rRNA from 1 species
UACAGAGGUCCCAAGCGUUGUUCGGAUUCAUUGGGCGUAAAGGGUGCGUAGGCGGCGCGGUAAGUCGGGUGUGAAAUCUCGGGGCUUAACUCCGAAACUGCAUUCGAUACUGCCGUGCUUGAGGACUGGAGAGGAGACUGGAAUUCCUGGUGUAGCGGUGAAAUGCGCAGAUAUCAGGAGGAACACCGGUGGCGAAGGCGGGUCUCUGGGCCGAUACUGACGCUGAGGAGCGAAAGCGUGGGGAGCGAACAGG